GACGUAGGAGGCGAGCGUUGUCCGGAUUCAUUGGGCGUAAAGAGCACGCAGGCGGUUUGGCAAGUCGGACGUGAAAAUCCGGGGCUCAACCCCGGACCUGCAUCCGAAACUGCCCGACUAGAGUGUGGUAGGGGAGACUGGAAUUCCUGGUGUAGCGGUGAAAUGCGCAGAUAUCAGGAGGAACACCGAUGGCGAAGGCAGGUCUCUGGGCCACUACUGACGCUGAGAAGCGAAAGCAUGGGGAGCGAACAGG
rnacentral:rRNA from 1 species